rnacentral:rRNA from 1 species
UGGGGAAUAUUGCACAAUGGGCGAAAGCCUGAUGCAGCAACGCCGCGUGAGCGAUGAAGGCCUGGGUCGUAAAGCUCUGUCCUCAAGGAAGAUAAUGACGGUACUUGAGGAGGAAGCCCCGGCUAACUACGUGCC